GUUUAAUUUUCGUCAGUUGGUUGUAAUUUUGUAAAGCGGAUAAAAAAUUAUGAUGCCCCGGGGUACGUUGAAAAAGUGAUCGUGAUUGAUGAAGUUCGGCGCGAAUGAAUUGAAGUGUACUGAUCGAUUGUGUGACACCUGGAGCAAGUUCCACAACACUGAUGUGGAGGAAAAAGAUAAUGCCCCGGCAUAGGACGGAAAUCGGCAGCCGGACAGGGCCUCACGCACCAGGACCGAUGCACCAGGAGCCGGUCAGCAAAUCAGUCUGGGCGAAAAAUACGCUUUUCAGUGUCGGCGAAUACUAUUCUCGAGUUCCCGAACCCUGGGGACUUUCCUGAGUGGCCUACGCCGGAGGAUAUCAGGGACGAAGAAUGCUGAACUGGCGAACUGUUAGCGCAGCAGCCGGGCCGAAAAAUGCCGGCUUCCGACGCUAAGCGUGACUGAGUGAGCAGUUCUCUUACAAGUUCCCCGACCGUGGAUGUUGCUUUGGUGAAGUGAAAAGCUUUUGAAUAAAUAAAAAUGAAAAUAAAACGAAUAUUAUUUUGAGGCCUUCCAAAAUGUCAUAA